rnacentral:lncRNA from 1 species
UUUUUUUCUUUCUUUUCACCAUUUCGACAAAUCCCAAACCCAAGUAAAAUCCUAACCUAGUUCUAUCUUAUUCCAAGAAUGCAAAUAAAACUACUCAAGAUCCUAUUCCUGUCGGCGCAAACCUAACACGUUCUAUUUAAGCUCAAUCUAUAAAAGAGGCUUUCCACUCAUAAUUAAAACAAGGCUUGAAAGAAAGGGUUAGACUCUCG